CGUGCAAGUUGAGCGGAGGUAGAUGGAGCUUGCUCUAUGUACCUUAGCAGCGAACGGGUGAGUAACACGUAGAUAAUCUGUCCUAUAUUGGGGGAUAGCCCGAUGAAAGUUGGAUUAAUACCGCAUACAGCUAUAUAGUUGCAUGAUUAUAUAGUGAAAGAUUUAUUGAUAUAGGAGGAGUCUGCGGCACAUUAGCUAGUAGGUGAGGUAAGAGCUUACCUAGGCGACGAUGUGUAGCCGGUCUGAGAGGAUGAACGGCCACAAUGGAACUGAGACACGGUCCAUACUCCUACGGGAGGCAGCAGUGGGGAAUAUUGCACAAUGGGGGAAACCCUGAUGCAGCAACGCCGCGUGAGUGAAGAAGGUUUUCGGAUUGUAAAGCUCUGUUAGCAGGGAAGAGGAAGGACGGUACCUGCAGAGGAAGCCACGGCUAACUACGUGCCAGCAGCCGCGGUAAUACGUAGGUGGCAAGCGUUGUUCGGAAUAACUGGGCGUAAAGGAUGCGUAGGCGGUUAAAUAUGUUAUAUGUUAAAUAUAUAGGCUUAACCUGUAGAAAGCAUAUAAAACUGUUUAACUAGAGUGCAGGAGAGGUAAGUGGAAUUCCGAGUGUAGCGGUGAAAUGCGUAGAGAUUAGGAAGAACACCAGUGGCGAAGGCGACUUACUGGACUGUA
rnacentral:rRNA from 1 species